UACAGAGGUCCCAAGCGUUGUUCGGAUUCACUGGGCGUAAAGGGUGCGUAGGCGGGUCUUUAAGUCAGGGGGGAAAUCCUGGAGCUCAACUCCAGAACUGCCUUUGAUACUGGGAGCCUUGAGUUCGGGAGAGGUGAGUGGAACUGCGAGUGUAGAGGUGAAAUUCGUAGAUAUUCGCAAGAACACCAGUGGCGAAGGCGGCUCACUGGCCCGAUACUGACGCUGAGGUGCGAAAGCGUGGGGAGCAAACAGG
rnacentral:rRNA from 1 species